rnacentral:lncRNA from 1 species
UAUGUUAUGUAUAUUUUUCUUUUUUGGGUUUCAAAUAUAAUUUUAAUAUAUUUUUUUGUUAUUCAAAAAUAAUUCUGUUGUUAGUACUCGUUAAAUUAUUUCGAAUUAAACUCAGAUUAAAACUCUUGAUAUUGAGGCCCAUUUGACACUAUUAGAUAAAAUAAAGUUGAGACAAAAGUAUAUAGAGAUAUGUUUCUGCGUUCUCCAGUUGGAUCGCAAAAAAAAUAUUGUAACCUGCGAUAUGUAUGUACGAAAAAAAAAAAGAAUAUUUUUUCUUCAUACUUUCUCACUACACGUAACGUAAUCUUCCUGUAAUUCUAAACGGAGCUUAAAAAUUUCUAUCAAAGUUAAAAAAAAAUAAAAAUAACUCUUUUAUCCUUAACUUACAUAUUUUCUUAAUAGAUAUUAUCCUUUUUUAUAGGAUAAUUGUUUAUAUACCUUGAAAAGUUUCAAACUUUUUGAUUAAGCCUGUUUAGAAAGCUAAUAUGGAAAAUAUCUUUCUAACUUUCUUACUACACAUAACGUAAUUUUUCUAUAAUUUUAAACAGAGCCUAAAAAUUUCUAUCAAAGUUAAAAAAAAAUAAAAAUAACUCUUUUAUCCUUAACUUACAUAUUUUCUUAAUAGAUAUUAUCCUUUUUUAUAGGAUAAUUGUUUAUAUACCUUGAAAAGUUUCAAACUUUUU